AGCGAACGCUGGCGGCGUGCUUAACACAUGCAAGUCGAACGUGAAAGUAGCAAUAUGAGUAAAGUGGCGUACGGGUGAGUAACACGUGGGUAAUCUACCUUAGAGUCUGGAAUAACGUGCCGAAAGGCGCGCUAAUACUGGAUAGUUCAAGCGCAUUAUAAAGGUGCGAUUGGGAAAGGGAGCUCGUAAGAGCCUUCGCUUUAGGAUGAGCCCGCGUCUGAUUAGCUAGUUGGUGAGGUAAUGGCUCACCAAGGCGACGAUCAGUAGCUGGUCUGAGAGGAUGAUCAGCCACACUGGAACUGAAACACGGUCCAGACUCCUACGGGAGGCAGCAGUGGGGAAUCUUGCGCAAUGGACGAAAGUCUGACGCAGCCACGCCGCGUGAGUGAAGAAGGCCUCGGUGUAAGACUCUGUCGAGGGACAAAACGUUACGGUUAAUAGCCGUAGAUCUUGUAUGGUACCUUUAAGGUAAGCACCGGCGUAACUUCGUG
rnacentral:rRNA from 1 species